rnacentral:rRNA from 1 species
UACGUAGGGUGCGAGCGUUGUCCGGAAUUAUUGGGCGUAAAGGGCUCGUAGGCGGUUUGUCACGUCGGGAGUGAAAACCCCGGGCUUAACUCGGUGCUUGCUUCCGAUACGGGCAGACUAGAGGCAUGCAGGGGAGAACGGAAUUCCUGGUGUAGCGGUGAAAUGCGCAGAUAUCAGGAGGAACACCGGUGGCGAAGGCGGUUCUCUGGGCAUGUCCUGACGCUGAGGAGCGAAAGUGUGGGGAGCAAACAGG